rnacentral:sRNA from 1 species
CCUGAAAAUAACCAAUAGAAUUGCUAUUUGCCA